GAAAUCGCUGGUAUUAGAAGAGUGAAAAUGUCAGUAAUUAAGGCUACAACUGUGCUCUUAGAGGCAAAAGAAGAAAAUGAGACUGCCAGGCAUGAAUAAUGAGAAAUCUUUGAUGGAAUUAGCCAUGCAGAACAGAUACUAAAUGCAUCCUCAUUCUUCUCAUAGUCAAAAGUUUUUGCUGAAGGUGGAUGGGAAAAAGAGAAUCCCAUUUCACUAAAUACAAAAGAGGGGAUUUUAGAGAAGGUCUCAGAAGAAAGAGAUGUGGGGGUUUGGUGAAACUCACCAGAGGCUGAUCCCUUUCCAGCAUAACACAGGGAUUGAGAGGAGCGGGGUGGCAUUAGGCCAGGUGCAUAACCCAGUGCUGCUCUCUCUGGACUUUCUGCUCUCUCUGGACUUGUUUGCUAGCUGAGCUCAUCCAUUUACAUAAUUUCCAGUGCCAUUUCUCAGCUGAUGAGUCCUGAACUUUUGUCUUGAGGCUAGACUUCUCCUUCAAACAGCAGUCUUAAACACUCAACUUCUUUCUUGUUUUUUCCACUUGUCAACUCAUGAACACCUCAACCUUGUUACAUCCAAAGCCAAACUCAUGGCUUGGAGUGGUAGGUGAUGGCUGUAAUCCCAGUGCUAUGGGAGGCUGAGGUGGGAGGAUUACUUGAGGCCAGGAGUUUGAAGCCAGCCUGGAAAACACAGUGA
rnacentral:lncRNA from 10 species